AUUGAACGCUGGCGGCAGGCCUAACACAUGCAAGUCGAACGGUAACAGGAAGCAGCUUGCUGCUUUGCUGACGAGUGGCGGACGGGUGAGUAAUGUCUGGGAAACUUCCUGAUGGAGGGGGAUAACUACUGGAAACGGUAGCUAAUACCGCAUAACGUCGCAAGACCAAAGAGGGGGACCUUAGGGCCUCUUGCCAUCGGAUGUGCCCAGAUGGGAUUAGCUAGUAGGUGGGGUAACGGCUCACCUAGGCGACGAUCCCUAGCUGGUCUGAGAGGAUGACCAGCCACACUGGAACUGAGACACGGUCCAGACUCCUACGGGAGGCAGCAGUGGGGAAUAUUGCACAAUGGGCGAAAGCCUGAUGCAGCCAUGCCGCGUGUAUGAAGAAGGCCUUCGGGUUGUAAAGUACUUUCAGCGGGGAGGAAGGGAGUAAAGUUAAUACCUUUGCUCAUUGACGUUACCCGCAGAAGAAGCACCGGCUAACUCCGUG
rnacentral:rRNA from 1 species